rnacentral:misc_RNA from 1 species
GAAUUGCGAUACGUAAUGUGAAUUGCAGAAUUCAGUGAAUCAUCGAAUCUUUGAACGCAUCUUGCGCUCCUUGGUAUUCCAUGGAGCAUGCCUGUUUGAGUGUCACGUAAACCCUCACCCUUGGGAUGUCAAAAUCCUGCGACGUGGAUUUGGACCGUGCCGUAAUUGGCUCGUCCCGAAAUGCAUUAGCUUGCGCUUUUUAGAGUGCUCGGUGCGGUGUGAUAAUUAUCUUCGCCGUCUCCUUAGGCCUCUUCUGUGGUGCUGCUUCCAAUCGUCCCUCCGGGACAAUCUUACAAUCUUAAGCUUUGACCUCAAAUCAGGUAGGACUACCCGCUGAACUUAA